UACGUAGGGUGCAAGCGUUAAUCGGAAUUACUGGGCGUAAAGCGUGCGCAGGCGGUUUUGUAAGUUUGUCGUGAAAUCCCCGGGCUCAACCUGGGAAUGGCGAUGAAGACUGCAAGGCUAGAAUCUGGCAGAGGGGGGGUAGAAUUCCACGUGUAGCAGUGAAAUGCGUAGAGAUGUGGAGGAACACCGAUGGCGAAGGCAGCCCCCUGGGUCAAGAUUGACGCACAUGCACGAA
rnacentral:rRNA from 1 species